UACGUAGGUGGCGAGCGUUGUCCGGAUUUACCGGGCGUAAAGGGAGCGUAGGCGGACUUUUAAGUGAGAUGUGAAAUACCCGGGCUCAACUUGGGUGCUGCAUUUCAAACUGGAAGUCUAGAGUGCAGGAGAGGAGAAUGGAAUUCCUAGUGUAGCGGUGAAAUGCGUAGAGAUUAGGAAGAACACCAGUGGCGAAGGCGAUUCUCUGGACUGUAACUGACGCUGAGGCUCGAAAGCGUGGGGAGCAAACAGGAUUAGAUACCCUGGUA
rnacentral:rRNA from 1 species